AAAGUAUUAAACUUGGUUCCACUGUUUAUUAUUUAUAAUCUUUAUUCCAGGCUGCCCACAAGACUUUCCGCAUUAAGACCAAAUUGGCAAAGAAAAUGAAACAGAACAGGCCUAUUCCCCCAUGGAUUAGGAACCGUACUGGAAACAAGAUCAGAUAUAAUGCCAAGCGCCGCCACUGGAGGAGGACUAAGCUCAAGCUGUAAGCUGCUGCUUGAUUGUCCUUUCAUAAUUUCUAGUGGAGAAAAGUGUUAAGGCUAAAGCUAAUAAAACACUGGCUACAA